rnacentral:rRNA from 1 species
AUUGAACGCUGGCGGCAGGCCUAACACAUGCAAGUCGAACGGUAACAGGAAGAAGCUUGCUUCUUUGCUGACGAGUGGCGGACGGGUGAGUAAUGUCUGGGAAACUGCCUGAUGGAGGGGGAUAACUACUGGAAACGGUAGCUAAUACCGCAUAACGUCGCAAGACCAAAGAGGGGGACCUUCGGGCCUCUUGCCAUCGGAUGUGCCCAGAUGGGAUUAGCUAGUAGGUGGGGUAACGGCUCACCUAGGCGACGAUCCCUAGCUGGUCUGAGAGGAUGACCAGCCACACUGGAACUGAGACACGGUCCAGACUCCUACGGUAGGCAGCAGUGGGGAAUAUUGCACAAUGGGCGCAAGCCUGAUGCAGCCAUGCCGCGUGUAUGAAGAAGGCCUUCGGGUUGUAAAGUACUUUCAGCGGGGAGGAAGGGAGUAAAGUUAAUACCUUUGCUCAUUGACGUUACCCGCAGAAGAAGCACCGGCUAACUCCGUG